rnacentral:rRNA from 1 species
UUGAACGCUGGCGGAAUGCUUUACACAUGCAAGUCGAGCGGCAGCGCGGGGCAACCUGGCGGCGAGCGGCGAACGGGUGAGUAAUGCAUCGGAACGUACCCAGUCGUGGGGGAUAACGAAUCGAAAGAUUCGCUAAUACCGCAUACGUCCUGAGGGAGAAAGCGGGGGAUCGCAAGACCUCGCGCGAUUGGAGCGGCCGAUGUCGGAUUAGCUAGUUGGUAGGGUAAAGGCCUACCAAGGCGACGAUCCGUAGCUGGUCUGAGAGGAUGAUCAGCCACACUGGGACUGGGACACGGCCCAGACUCCUACGGGAGGCAGCAGUGGGGAAUUUUGGACAAUGGGGGAAACCCUGAUCCAGCCAUUCCGCGUGAGUGAAGAAGGCCUUCGGGUUGUAAAGCUCUUUCGGCGGGGAGGAAGGCACCGGCGCGAAUAGCGUUGGUGAUUGACGUAACCUGGAGAAGAAGCACCGGCUAACUCCGU